GUCGAACGAACGAGAGAAUAAGCUUGCUUAAUUCUCAAGUUAGUGGCGGACGGGUGAGUAACGCGUGGGUAACCUACCCUAUAGUGGGGAAUAACAACGAGAAAUCGGUGCUAAUACCGCAUAAGCUUGUUUUAUCGCAUGAUAAGACAAAGAAAGAUGGCCUCUAAACUAUGCUAUCGCUAAAGGAUGGACCCGCGUCUGAUUAGCUAGUUGGUAAGGUAACGGCUUACCAAGGCAACGAUCAGUAGCCGGCCUGAGAGGGUGAACGGCCACACUGGGACUGAGACACGGCCCAGACUCCUACGGGAGGCAGCAGUGGGGAAUCUUCCGCAAUGGGCGAAAGCCUGACGGAGCAAUGCCGCGUGAGCGAAGAAGGCCUUCGGGUUGUAAAGCUCUGUCCUAUUUGAAGAGAAGUUGAUGUGUAAAUAAUGCAUUAAUAGGACGGUAAAAUAGGAGGAAGCCCCGGCUAACUACGUGCCAGCAGCCGCGGUAAUACGUAGGGGGCAAGCGUUGUCCGGAAUCACUGGGCGUAAAGGGCGCGUAGGCGGUUUUAUAAGUCAGAUGUGAAAACUUAGGGCUCAACCCUAAGACUGCACCUGAUACUGUAA
rnacentral:rRNA from 1 species